rnacentral:rRNA from 1 species
GACGUAGGGGGCGAGCGUUGUUCGGAUUUACUGGGCGUAAAGCGCACGUAGGCGGAUCGUUAAGUCGGGGGUGAAAUCCUGGAGCUCAACUCCAGAACUGCCUUCGAUACUGGCGAUCUUGAGUCCGGAAGAGGUGAGUGGAACUCCUAGUGUAGAGGUGGAAUUCGUAGAUAUUAGGAAGAACACCAGUGGCGAAGGCGGCUCACUGGUCCGGUACUGACGCUGAGGUGCGAAAGCGUGGGGAGCAAACAGG